rnacentral:ribozyme from 13 species
AAUUGAAAGAGGGAGAAAAUUUAUUAUUUUUUCAUAGACACAGAAAAGGAGAUAAAGUUUCUCCCAUUCUGGUUUUCUUCUUCUUCUUCCUGAUUCUUCUUCUUCUUCUUCUUCUUCUUCU